UACGUAGGGUGCGAGCGUUGUCCGGAAUUAUUGGGCGUAAAGGGCUCGUAGGCGGUCUGUUGCGUCAGGAGUGAAAACUCGGGGCUUAACCCCGAGCCUGCUUCUGAUACGGGCAGACUAGAGGUAUGCAGGGGAGAACGGAAUUCCUGGUGUAGCGGUGAAAUGCGCAGAUAUCAGGAGGAACACCGGUGGCGAAGGCGGUUCUCUGGGCAUUACCUGACGCUGAGACGCGAAAGCGUGGGGAGCAAACAGG
rnacentral:rRNA from 1 species